rnacentral:misc_RNA from 1 species
AUUCAAAGUAGCGCCUGUUGAUACGCUGCUGGUUCGUGUUUUAGUUCUAACUUCACUCAAGCACGGUCUUGGGUCUUAUUGAUGACGUUUUGUGUAAACAAUUGAUCGUUUAGUUUUGUUUUGUCAAUAUCUCGUGUAUAACAGUUUCUGUUGCAAUCGAACAUAUGUAGUGCGUUUAUGUGAUGUUUAUUCAGUAAUUCUUUUAAUUGUUGAAGUGCUUUUGCGAUGUUUGUGCUCUUCAUUAGCUAUAAUAUUGUGAAUUUUAGUUUAUUUGUAAUCAAGUCACCGUGAUCUUGAAUUAUCGGUUAAAAAUGACAAAUAUUUGUGAAAGAUUAAUACGACGACAUUGUGAAGAAAAAAAUGGCGGCUCCUAUAUGAAGUUGCUGAACACACUCUCAACGGAUUUAGAGGAAAUGCUCUGCGAGAUUUAUGACGACGAGAAUAUUGCAAGGUGAGUAAAUACUUUCUCAUAGAGAUGAGUAAUAUCACCUGUUUAAUGCGAAUCGAUAUUAGAAUAUUUAAAAAAGUAUGUUUUUUUUUUUAAUAUUUAGUGCCAGUAAGUUUGAAAUAAUUUGAACGGGAAGUAUAAGACCUCUUUGGUAUAUUCACGUGAUCUUUUGAUGUAACGAAUGCUUAGAAUUCGUUUUUUAAACUUAAUGUGGUCCUAUUGUAGGUACGCUUUUGUUGCAUAACUAACUAAUUUUAUAUACAUGAAAUAAUGAUGUACUUUAUAUGGUAAAUAAAAUUUGAUUAAGUUUUGACUAUAAUUAUUAUACUUACUUUCGGUACGUACUAGCUUCUUAUUAUGUUUUUACCUUCUU